rnacentral:rRNA from 1 species
UACGUAGGGAGCAAGCGUUGUCCGGAAUCAUUGGGCGUAAAGCGCGUGUAGGCGGCCAGGUAGGUCCGCUGUGAAAACCCGAGGCUCAACCUCGGGACGUCGGCGGAAACCAUCUGGCUAGAGUCCGGAAGAGGAGAGUGGAAUUCCCGGUGUAGCGGUGAAAUGCGCAGAUAUCGGGAGGAACACCUGAGGCGAAGGCGGGUUACUGGGCUGAUACUGACGCUGAUGCGCGAAAGCCAGGGGAGCAAACGGG